GACCUCUUCUGUUUUAUUCAUUUAUUUAUUUAUCCAUUUAUUUAUUUCAUCUGGACUUUUAUAUAUUAAUUUUUUAAGCGCAGCCCUUUUUCUAUAUUUUUUUGUGUCUUAUCCUAAAGGGUUUUUGAGGGAUUCCCUUUUUUAGGGUUGCUGCUCAUUUGUGUUAUUUAGCGCUUACUCAACUGUUUUUAUUUUAUUCUGUUU